AUUGAACGCUGGCGGCAUGCCUUACACAUGCAAGUCGAACGGUAACAUCUCUUCGGAUGCUGACGAGUGGCGUACGGGUUGGUAAUACAUCUUUACGUUCCCGAUCGUUGGGGGUAACGGAGCCUAAUCUUUGCUAAUACCUCAUACGAACUACGUAUUAAACCAUGGGACCGCACGGCCUUGCGCGGCCGGAUCGGCCGAUGACUGCUUAGGUAGGUGGUGGGAUAAAAGCUUACCAAGCCGACGAUCUGUAGCGGGUCUGAGAGGACGACCAGCCACACGGGGAGUGAGAAACGGCCCAGACACUGACGGGAGGCAGCAGUGGGGAAUUUUGGACGAGGGGCGAAAGCCUGAUCCAGCCAUGCCGCGUGAAGGAUGAAGGAGUUAGGGUUGGAGAAUGCUGUUGUACGGAACGAAAAAACACUUUCUAACAAAGAGGGUCCAUGACGGUACCGUAAGAAGAAGCACCGGCUAACUACGUG
rnacentral:rRNA from 1 species